UAACACGUGAUAUUCAAGAGGAAAUUUUCCACCUUCCUCUUUGAGCCUCACAUUCUGCAAGUCAAGAAGGAAAGCGCUAGAAAUCAGCAACCAAUUCAAACUCCUUCUCUAAAGAUCUAUUUAGCGUAUCUGCUGCAAAUUCGGAGCACGGUUAUCAGUUAUUCAAUCAUCACAUGGAUGAUUUUCUGGUUCCGAGAUCUCCGCUCAAAUUAGGGUUUGUCAUAUAUAAAUUUUCAUCUCAACCCUAUACGGGAACACACAAAAAAAUAUACACAGAGACAGAGACGACACACACAAGAGUUAGAAAAUCACCAGUUGAAGAUUGUUAAUUACGUUUGAGUUGGGGCAAUUGAGAAGAGAAGAUAACCAUUGGAGGGGAGCUUAGCCUCAAUCCAAGGCCGAACAAGAACAACGGAGGAGUACGGGGUCGAAGCCGGGUUCGUUUGGUGUUCUUGCGCACAAAAUUAAUGAGUUCUUCCUCUCAAUUUGUCAAAUUCAUACGUGUUUAAUAUCUUCAUGAUCUGCUCAGUCACUUUGUUAAUUAUCAAAUUUCUAUUUUCAAUAUUAUGGAUUGAUCUUGGAUACUAUUAUCUCAUUGAGUGAUUUUGCUAGUUAAUUAUUAUUUGAAGUUGCUUUUGAAUCAUUGCCUAAACUACUACUAUACGUAUUACUAGUGUAUGUAUGGUGCUAAUUAUUGUUAGCUAUAUUGUCUAGCUUAGUUUAGAUUAUAUAGUAAAGUGACCCCUAAUUUACAUUAAAUCUGCAAUCAUGGUUUAAUUUAAAUUAGAGAGUAAGUUUAAUAAUUAGUCUAAUCAUUUAAUUGGUUAGAAUAAUUAGGACUAAUGAUGUCUCCUAGUUCUUAAUUCUACCAAGUCUAAUUUAUACACGUUGCGAUCAGAUUUGUGUGAGUUGGGCUGGUUUAGAAUCAAUUUGGCUUAGUUCAUAAUUGGUUAUGAAUAAGGGAGUACAGGGAGUCUUUGUUAUUUAAGACUCUACAAUUAGUCUAAUAGUUAGAAUUGGUAAAUCCUCAAGAUCAAUUGUGUGUUACGGUUAAUUAACUAAAUCCAGUAAGGUUUAUGGGAUUGAAACGGUUAGUAGUGUCAUCACAUGUAAAGAGUAGAUUAGUUUUUCAGUUAUCUAAUUCUCUGGGUUAAUAUUAUCUCCAAACCCCCCCCAAUCUCUUUAAAUAGUGUAAAUAAUUGUGUAGUCCAACUUAAUUAUGUGACUGAAAAUGUUUUUAGUUAAACAAUGAAUUUAGGUAUUGAAGGUGGGCGACCUCCAUUGACGGUGAACUCGAAGGCAGCUGCUGCGGUUCUGUCGUGUCACAGGUAAGCAUAGUUCCAGGGAGAUACGUCCGACGUAGCGUCGUAUGACGAGGCAUAGACGACGAAGGACAGGCGACGACGCGCAAGCAACAGAGACGCGUCAUCUCUGGACAGACCGAUAAAGAUAAGUUAACCUAAAGCCCAUGAUGGGCAGCGCCGUCAUGAUAGCAGGAACAAGUCCAAGACAUGCGCGAGAAACGUGGAGGUAGUUGAAGACCAAAGAGACGUGUGACAAAGAUAUCCCUAUCUUUGUGGGAUUCUCUCAACCAUCUAGACCGUUGGAAAUCUCCUAUAAAAGGACGAAGACGAAGACAAGCGAAGGGCACGUGAACUCAAGCUCUCAUACUCUCAAGCCAUAAAAGCAUUCAUAUUACUCUUGUAUUCGUUCUUUAGUUUUGCUACAUUGAUUUCUAGAAUAAUACACAAACAAUCAUAUAAGAAACUUAGUGGAUUGAUAGCCUCAUAGCUAUCCGCGGUUUUUUACCUUA